AAGGCUGACCUCAAAUCAGGAGGACUACCCG
rnacentral:rRNA from 1 species